GGAGAAGUAGCUAAGUUGUACUGAAGCGUCUAGCCUUGAAAACUAGUAAGACAAGAGAUCGUCGUGUGGGUUCAAAUCCCUCUUUCCCGCCA
rnacentral:tRNA from 2 species